rnacentral:rRNA from 1 species
AGUCGAGCGGAGUUGAUGAGAUGCUUGCAUCUCUGAUACUUAGCGGCGGACGGGUGAGUAACACGUGGGUAACCUGCCUUUAAGACUGGGAUAACAUUCGGAAACGGAUGCUAAUACCGGAUAGGCGAUUUGGUCGCAUGAUCGAAUCGAGAAAGAUGGAGCAAUCUAUCACUUAGAGAUGGACCCGCGGCGCAUUAGCUAGUUGGUGAGGUAACGGCUCACCAAGGCGACGAUGCGUAGCCGACCUGAGAGGGUGAUCGGCCACACUGGGACUGAGACACGGCCCAGACUCCUACGGGAGGCAGCAGUAGGGAAUCUUCCGCAAUGGACGAAAGUCUGACGGAGCAACGCCGCGUGAGUGAUGAAGGUUUUCGGAUCGUAAAGCUCUGUUGCCAGGGAAGAACGCUUGGGAUAGUAACUGCUCCCAAGGUGACGGUACCUGAGAAGAAAGCCCCGGCUAACUACGUGCCAGCAGCCGCGGUAAUACGUAGGGGGCAAGCGUUGUCCGGAAUUAUUGGGCGUAAAGCGCGCGCAGGCGGCCUUGUAAGUCUGUUGUUUAAACUCGGGGCUCAACCCCGAGUCGCAAUGGAAACUGCAAAGCUUGAGUACAGAAGAGGAAAGUGGAAUUCCACGUGUAGCGGUGAAAUGCGUAGAGAUGUGGAGGAACACCAGUGGCGAAGGCGACU